AGAGUUUGAUCAUGGCUCAGAACGAACGUUGGCGGCGUGGAUUAGGCAUGCAAGUCGAACGAAUCCCCGGGGCAACCUGGGGGGAAGUGGCGAAAGGGGCAGUAAGGCGUAGGUAACCUACCCCGGGGACGGGCAUAGCCGUCCUAACGGACGGGUAAUUCCUGGCGAUCAGGCGUGACGGCAUCGUCGUGUCUGGAAAUGAGUUUCGCCUCGGGAGGGGCCUACGUGAUAUUAGCUUGUUGGCGGGGUAACGGCCCACCAAGGCUGAGAUGUCUAGCGGGUGUGAGAGCACGACCCGCGCCACUGGCACUGAGACACUGGCCAGACACCUACGGGUGGCUGCAGUCGAGGAUCUUCGGCAAUGGGCGCAAGCCUGACCGAGCGACGCCGCGUGCGCGACGAAGGCCUUCGGGUUGUAAAGCGCUUUGGCGGGGGAGGAAAGCCGAAAGGUCUGACCUAUCCCGAGAACAAGCACGGGCUAAGUUCGUGCCAGCAGCCGCGGUAAUAC
rnacentral:rRNA from 1 species